rnacentral:rRNA from 1 species
UGGGGAAUAUUGGACAAUGGGGGGAACCCUGAUCCAGCCAUGCCGCGUGUGUGAAGAAGGCCUUAUGGUUGUAAAGCACUUUAAGCGAGGAGGAGGGUACUGGUAUUAAUACUACCAGGUACUGGACGUUACUCGCAGAAUGAGCACCGGCUAACUCUGUGCCAGCAGCCGCGGUAAUACAGAGGGUGCGAGCGUUAAUCGGAUUUACUGGGCGUAAAGCGUGCGUAGGCGGCUAAUUGAGUCGGAUGUGAAAUCCCCGAGCUUAACUUGGGAAUUGCAUUCGAUACUGGUUAGCUAGAGUGUGGGAGAGGAUGGUAGAAUUCCAGGUGUAGCGGUGAAAUGCGUAGAGAUCUGGAGGAAUACCGAUGGCGAAGGCAGCCAUCUGGCCUAACACUGACGCUGAGGUACGAAAGCAUGGGGAGCAAACAGG